ACUCCUGCGGGAGGCAGCAGUGGGGAAUAUUGCACAAUGGGCGCAAGCCUGAUGCAGCCAUGCCGCGUGUAUGAAGAAGGCCUUCGGGUUGUAAAGUACUUUCAGCGGGGAGGAAGGCGAUAAGGUUAAUAACCUUGUCGAUUGACGUUACCCGCAGAAGAAGCACCGGCUAACUCCGUGCCAGCAGCCGCGGUAAUACGGAGGGUGCAAGCGUUAAUCGGAAUUACUGGGCGUAAAGCGCACGCAGGCGGUCUGUCAAGUCGGAUGUGAAAUCCCCGGGCUCAACCUGGGAACUGCAUUCGAAACUGGCAGGCUAGAGUCUUGUAGAGGGGGGUAGAAUUCCAGGUGUAGCGGUGAAAUGCGUAGAGAUCUGGAGGAAUACCGGUGGCGAAGGCGGCCCCCUGGACAAAGACUGACGCUCAGGUGCGAAAGCGUGGGGAGCAAACAGGAUUAGAUACCCUAGUAGUCCCAU
rnacentral:rRNA from 1 species